UCCCUGGUGGUCCAGUGGUUAAGACUCUCAGCUCCCACUGCAGAGGGCCCAGGUUCGAUCCCUGUUCAGGGAA
rfam:TPA: Bos taurus chromosome 13, whole genome shotgun sequence.